UGGUUCUGGCAUCGAUGAAGAACGCAGCGAAAUGCGAUAAGUAAUGUGAAUUGCAGAAUUCAGUGAAUCAUCGAAUCUUUGAACGCACAUUGCGCCCCCUGGCAUUCCGGGGGGCAUGCCUGUUCGAGCGUCAUUUCGACCUUCAAGCCCCGCUUGGUGUUGGGCGCAGGCCUCCGCGUGAGGCCCGCCCGCAACCCGUCGGCGGCAGGCACCGUCCCCGAGCGUAGCAGAAAAAAAUCUCGCUCCGGAGCGCGGCCGCCCGCCCGCCGGUCAAGAACCACACAUCAGAAGUUUGACCUCGGAUCAGGUAGGGAUACCCGCUGA
rnacentral:misc_RNA from 1 species